UACAGAGGUCCCAAGCGUUGUUCGGAUUCAUUGGGCGUAAAGGGUGCGUAGGCGGCGCGGUAAGUCGGGUGUGAAAUCUCGGAGCUUAACUCCGAAACUGCAUCCGAUACUGCCGUGCUUGAGGACUGGAGAGGAGACUGGAAUUUACGGUGUAGCGGUGAAAUGCGUAGAUAUCGUAAGGAAGACCAGUGGCGAAGGCGGGUCUCUGGACAGUUCCUGACGCUGAGGCACGAAGGCCAGGGGAGCAAACGGG
rnacentral:rRNA from 1 species